rnacentral:lncRNA from 1 species
GUGAUUUACAGGAGCCAAGAAAAGGGCUCUUACAAAGCCCUAAAACUUACAAGAAAUCCAACAAAAAUCGAAGAUAGAACAAGCUAAAAAUUGGGGCUUUUUUAUAAAUUUGUGAUCACCCAAGCUAGAAGAUUGCAAGUUUGACUCUGACAAGCUAGGUAGGAGCUUGGAAAUGAACGGGUCAAAUGGAUACAAGUUCAAGUAUGAAGCUCGCAAGGAUGCAAGGUAUCCAAUGGAUACUCGCAUCGCUCUUAAUUAGCAAUUAUAAAGCAAGGUACAUUUUGGAUGCCGGA